AGUGAACGCUGGCGGUAGGCCUAACACAUGCAAGUCGAACGGCAGCACAGUAAGAGCUUGCUCUUACGGGUGGCGAGUGGCGGAUGGGUGAGGAAUACAUAGGCAUCUACUUUUUCGUGGGGGAUAACGUAGGGAAACAUACGCUAAUACUGCAUACGACCUACGGGUGAAAGCAGGGGAUCUUCGGACUUUGCGCGAUUGAAUUAGCCGAUGUCGGAUUAGCUAGUUGGCGGGGUAAAGGCCCACCAAGGCAACGAUGCGUAGCUGGUCUGAGAGGAUGAUCAGCCACACUGGAACUGAGACACGGUCCAGACUCCUACGGGAGGCAGCAGUGGGGAAUAUUGGACGAUGGGCGCAAGCCUGAUCCAGCCAUACCGCGUGGGUGAAGAAGGCCUUCGGGUUGUAAAACCCUUUUGUUGGGGAAGAAAAGCAGCAGAAUAAAACCCGGCUGUUCUGACGGUACCCAAAGAAUAAGCACCGGCUAACUUCGUG
rnacentral:rRNA from 1 species